AUGGACGACAACACCAACACCCUUAAGUCCCUCCUGAAAUCGAUCGUCACGCGCCUCGACGAACAGAAACUCGACAGCGACAAACGGCUCGAGGCCCAGGUCGCCUUCAACACCCAGGUAUCCCAGGAUGUGCGCAACCUCAGCAAACGGAUCGACCUUACGCAGGCUGAUGUCGAUGAAGCACGCAAGUCCAUGGAGUGCUCCCCGUCUCCGCGCGGAUCCGGCGCGGUUUUCAACCCGCCGCCACCGCCGCCACUGCGUCCCGCGCCUGCGCCGCAUCACCAAGGCCCACCGCUUUCUCCUCGUCUGGCCGACGAGCGCCCACCCCUGCUGGUUCAAUCACCCGCGCCCGCGCCAGCCGUCACCCAGGCACACAUGGGGGUGAUGGCGCCUCAUCCCCAACAGCAGCCAGACUUCAAUCACCAUCCUCGGCAAGCCUGCGACACCUACAUCAAGCCAUCGAAACAUGACUUCCCUCGUUUCGAUGGCAGUGCACCUUAUCUCUGGUUGGACCGUUGUCGUGCUUACUUCGAUCUAUACAGAGUGCCUGCACACAGCUGGGUGACCACGACUACCUUGUACAUUGAAGGGCAGGCGGCACACUGGCUUCAGGCAUUUUGCCAAGUCCACCAAGGGUUGACGUGGGAAGCCUUUUGCGCAACGAUUACAGAGGAGUUUGGUGUCGAUGAAUUCGAGCUCGAGAUGCACAAAUUACUUCAAUUGCGCCAGAACAGCACUGUGGCAGAGUACAGGCAGAUGUUUGACACCCACAUUUACCAUCUCUUGGCACUGGAUCCAUCUUUGAGUCCCAAAUUUUUCAUCACCCAGUUCCUCCUGGGGCUCAAGGACGAGAUUCGAGCGGCUGUCCGUCUCCAGUCACCCACCAGUAUCACCCGGGCAUCCAUUUUGGCUCGAAUUCAGGAGGACGAGUUGGGUAUGCCGAGAGCGCGCCCACGCCCAACACCUGCAGGCCGACCACCGCCACUCCCAGUUCCUGCACCACCACGCCCGGUGCCCACGGCACGGCCCCAGGGCGACGAGUUUGCUCGGGAACGUCAGCUCAAGGACUUCCGGCACGCAAACGGACUGUGUUUCAAAUGCGGUGACCGCUACUCCAGGGAGCAUCGGUGCAACACUCAGGCCCAGCUUCUCACAAUUCAAGUGGGCAACUAUGGGGAACUCCUCUCCGAUGAUGCCAUCCAUGCAUUGGAACUCCUGGACGAACCAGUGGCUGCUGCACCACAGCCGGAGUGUUGCAUGCUCUCAGCGCACGCUCUGGACGAUUCCGACACCCCCCCCCCACCAUCCGUCUUCGUGCUCUAG
rnacentral:rRNA from 1 species